GUUUGGGGCCGCUGCUUCGUGCAUCAGUGAGUUCUGCAGGGAGCAAAAUACUUCACUGGAAAACCAGUCCAGGGAUGUUGUGGCUUCAGAAAGAGCUCUGUGACCCUUUCCAUGCCCUGUGCUGCACAGGAGGCCCUGGCACUCAAGAAGAUCCAUUGCUUGUUCUGAGGGGGCAGUGAACUGCUACAACAUGCACUGAACAGAGGAAGUUGGAUGUGAAGAUUUGGGUCAAUCUGGAAAGUUCCUCGUGCCUUAAGAAUCAUGGCAAGUGUAGCUCUAAAAACUCCAGAUUAGGAAUAACCCAAAGAUGAACCAGUUCUCAACAAACUCAGCUUUCAAAGUUAUUUUUCAAGAUAAAACAAGAUUGAAGUGAGCUUGGUGGGAAAGCCCCUGUGGAGCAAAUCACCAUGAAAAUACCUGUGAGCAGGAAACACUGAGGAAUUCCUGCUGCUCCUGAUGUCCUGCUAUUUUCAGGACAGGAAAAAUCAUUUAAUUCGACCCAACCCCACCUAAACCUGUGGUUUUGUCUGGGUUUGAGCAGCCAAACCCAAAACCCUCCUGCCCUGAAAACCUGCACAGGAGCACACCUGGUCCUGCACAUGCCAUGGGGUAAGUCAGGGGCACACAUUUCCCUUCUCCUGUCUGUUGGGGUUAACUCUCCAGGAAAUGUAAGCACAGCUCUACUGUUUAGUGGGAUCUGGUUAAAACUCCAUUUAUCCUCCUGUUCAGGGAUGCACGGUCCGAGGGAUUGUACUGACUUGUGGAUUCCAAGGACACCAGAAACAGGAGGGUGUGUGGUGCCAGAGCUGUGUCUCAUCAGGCUGUGUUUCCCUCAGAGGACAGAGUCUCUGAGAAACUCAUGGCAGUAAUUUUUACAGGGGAAAAAAUACUAGCAAUUACUUUUGAUCCAUGGGGAAUUUUCUUUGGAAUUAUCAAGCACAGAGGGUAUCAAUGGAGAGCAUUUCUUCUGGCUCUUUUUCUGGUUUGUAAUUUCUUUUUUGAUUUAAAUUAGUUUUGUGAGCUCCUGUUAAGGAAGCAACAUGUCUUCACCUUGAAAUGUGGGGUGGUUUUAUUUGUUUAGGGCUUUUUUUUUGGUUUUGUUUCUUUUCCCCCCCAACUGAAUAGUCUGUGUUGUUCUACACACUUUGCUUAUGGGUCAGAGAAAGAAGUGAAAUUACAUCUUAUUACCUUAUAUUUUUCCAAACAUAAGUGGGAUGUUGUCUUGCCAUUCCCAAAACCAUUCCAGGUAUGUGGGAGUAGCUCAGAGACAGAAGAGUUCUCUGAGAAAUUGCAGUAUUUGAAAGGUUUAAGUAUUAAUAACAACUGUGCUGUCUUUUGGUUGCAAAGAUUCAGUCCUACAGUCCCAGACAGAUGAGGGAAAAAAGGAACUUCUCCUUACUCAUGGAAGAUCUUUUGUUUUUUCCUUGUGUAGCCUUUUAAUUCUGCUGUAUGACUUCCUGUCAAGUAUCUUUCCAGAGAAAGCUGACAGAAAUUGAGAUUUAGAAUUCAAAUUUGGGUCUCCUCACUACAAAAUCUUGCACAGCCUGAAGGACAGGGGUGUGGACAGCUCUCAGCAAGGUUAUUUAUUACUGUUAGGUCAGAUUUCCCUCAGCUCUGGGCAGGGACCAUGCCAAAGAUCAGAGUCAGGGCCAAAUUUAAGACUGAUCCAGGUAAGGUCAGCGUUUACCUGUAGGUGUGAAAGGCAAGGAAAGUUUUGGGGGUAAAAUCUGGGAUAAUUGUUAGCAGAGCAAAUGUACAUUUAUAGGUAAAUGGAGGAAGUCAGUAAAAGGUAAGGAAUGUUUUUGGGGGGAAGCUGGAGGAGAUCUCAGGUAGAGAAGAGCCAGAUGGCCUUUUUGAGGAAAAUGAUUGUCAGUAAAAUCUGAGGUAAACACCUAAGGGAGAGCAUGAACAUUUUGAGGUCAGUCCAGGUAAUCCAGGUAGGGGAGUUAUUGGGUUUGCUCUGAAGUAAGGUACAAUGAAUACUUGGGAGGUUAAAGCCUAGGAAAAAUCUCUGUUUACACCUAUUCCCUGAUGUCAUUUCACCUGCCUGAAUUCCUUGCAGCUCCCAGCUGGGAGAACCUGGCAUAACUUAGAGGGGACAGAGGUGACAUUCUUUGGGCUGAGAACCUGCUGUAAUUUAGAGGGGACCCAACAUGUGUUUGUGUAGGAAAAUGUGAGGGGAUGUGGAGAGGAGCAAGUGGCAUUUUGAGGGAAUAGCUGUGGGGAGAGAAGGCUCAUUUUGGGGUGAAAAUGAGGAAGUCAAUAGUAUACAGGAAAGAAAAUCUGUGAGGUGAAACAUGGGAUAAUCUUGAGGGUAGAGAGUGAUCAAUUUAUUGUAAAAAUAGAGGUAAUGAGUAAGGAAGGGAAAUUUAUGGGGGAUAAGCUUGAGGUGCUUUCUGGGGGCGAGAAUGAAUAUUUAGAGGGAAAGACAAUGUAAUCAGCAGUGUCACAGAGGGAAUCAUUUGGGAGUAAACUUGAGGUACUCUAUAUUGACAGAGAGUGGAGAUGUUGAGGGGGAAAUGAGCUCAUCAGAGGUGGACAGAGGGAAUAUUUUUGGGGGUAAAAUCUGGGGCAAUCCCUAGGGGAGAGAAUGAACAUCUCAAGGUAAAUGGAGGUAAUAAGUAACACAAAGGUAGUGAUAUACUGGAGUGUCAAUCUUGAAAUAAUUUCUAGGGUAGAGAAUAAUUAUUUUGAGGUAAAACUGAGGUAAAUCAAAAGUGGAGGCAGGUAGGGAAAACCUUGGUGAGAUUUGUGAUACCCUCUAGCAGAGUAAAUGAAAAUUUACACCUAAUGAGGUGGUCAUUAGCAGAUGGGCAUGGAAAAAUUUGGGAUUAAAACUUGAGGUUGUGUGGGGAGAGAAGGAGCAUUGUGAGGUCAAAUGAGGUAGUGAAUAGUAACAGGUAGGAAAAAUCUGGGGUGCUGAGUCUGUAAAGAAAGAAGAGGUUGAGGCAAACUGAGGUAAUCAGUAGUGUGCUGGUAAGGUGAAGUUUUGGCUUUAAAAUUUGAGAUCAUCUGUAAGGAACAAAGAACAUUUGGGGGAAUUACCUGAAGUAAUCUGUAAGGGACCGGAGAAAUAUUUUAGGGAUUAGAUAAAUAGUGUGGGGGGUUGGGUGGUAAAAUCUAAGUCAUCCAUAGGGGGGACAAGAUUAACAUUUUGAGGGUAAAACCUGAGGUAAUUUUUAAGGGACUGAAUGAACACUUUGAGGUAAAAGGAGGUUGUCUUUGGUGAACAUGUCAGCACAAUCUUGGGGUAAAACUUGAGCUGCUCUGUGAAAUCCAGUGAAUAUUUUGGGGGUGGGAAAUGUCAGGCCAUGUGUAGGAGUCAGUCCUGAUCUGUUCCCUCUGCAGCAGAGGGGAAUAAUUCCUCCCUGGAGAGCCCCGUGCUGGCAGAGGGGUCACACACAAAGCCCAGCUUUUCUGCUGUGCUCAGUCCAGCAAUCUCUGGAUGUCACAGCUCCCCACGCCGGGUCUGUCCCGUUACCGUGCUCAAACAGGGUUUAACCACCUGGGCCCAGGCUGUGUUGGCACAGAGUGGGGCCAGAGGUGAAGGUCAAUCCAAAACAAACCCUGCUGGACCUCUCAACCCCAGGGUAAGUUCUGCUAAGUGAGGGAAUAAAAAUACAUCAGCAUGGAACCAAGAGCAUUAAUGAGGUUCCUGGGAAUCCAUUACAUUGUUUUCUUAGAACCCUUAACAGGUUUUGAAGCUUUUUAUGGCAGCAAUGCAUUUCUUCCUUUGGAUUAUUCACUCUGUAGGCUUUGGGCUUUAUUGGGGUUUAAACUCCCUCGUGUGGCCCUGGCACUGCUCAGGAGCUGGGAGGAGAAGCAGAGCCCGAGCUCCUGGCAGGUGCAGGUGUUUCCCCCCAGACUGGACAGGUGGGAUCUGCUUUGGGUCCUUCCUUAGGGAACCUGCUGGAAGCAGAGAAGCCUAAGCCCAGAUCUCCACGCUGUGGGUGGGGCUGUGGAAUGUAAACCAGCACAAAUGGAUACUCCAAAAUGAACCAUGAGAGAACAGGACCAAAUAAGGGUCACUGUCACUAUGGGAAGGCAAAAGGAAUUGCACCUGUGGCCCAGAAUUCCAUGCUGAGGCUGGAAUAGCCUCACAGUGCCUCAUGGAGCGUGGAUAUUCCCGUGUGGAGCUGCUGCUUUUACACCAGGUUUGUCAGGAGCCAGCAAACAUCCAUCCAGAGAAGU